rnacentral:rRNA from 1 species
AGUGAACGCUGGCGGUAGGCCUAACACAUGCAAGUCGAACGGCAGCACAGUAAGAGCUUGCUCUUACGGGUGGCGAGUGGCGGACGGGUGAGGAAUACAUCGGAAUCUACUUUUUCGUGGGGGAUAACGUAGGGAAACUUACGCUAAUACCGCAUACGACCUACGGGGGAAAGCAGGGGAUCUUCGGACCUUGCGCGAUUGAAUGAGCCGAUGUCGGAUUAGCUAGUUGGCGGGGUAAAGGCCCACCAAGGCGACGAUCCGUAGCUGGUCUGAGAGGAUGAUCAGCCACACUGGAACUGAGACACGGUCCAGACUCCUACGCGAGGCAGCAGUGGGGAAUAUUGGACAAUGGGCGCAAGCCUGAUCCAGCCAUACCGCGUGGGUGAAGAAGGCCUUCGGGUUGUAAAGCCCUUUUGUUGGGAAAGAAAAGCAGCAGGUUAAUACCCCGCUGUUCUGACGGUACCCAAAGAAUAAGCACCGGCUAACUUCGUG